UUAAAAUCAUAAUUUUUUUUUCCUAAAAUUCCUGAUUUUUUGGAGCCCCAAAUCCUCAUUUUUCUACCCCAAAAUUGGGUCCUGGGUGGAGCAAAGUGGGCGUGGCCUCGCUGCCUGCCCCUCCUCAAGCCACGCCCCUUUUACCCAUUGGCCACGCCCACAACUCCCCAUUUAACCCCGUUUCCCUCCCCAAAAUUCUCAUUUUUCCCCAAAAUCCCCAUUUCCCACCCCAAAAUCUCAAUUUUUUUUCCCAAAAUUCUCAUUUUUUCCCCAAAAGUUCCCAAUUUUUCCCCAUAAAAAAUCCCAAUUUUUUCCUUCCAAAUCCUCAUUUUUUCCCAUCAAAAUCCCCAUUUAUCCCAAAAUCCCCAUUUCUCAUCCCAAAAUUCCCAAUUUUUCCCCCAAAAAUCCCAAUUUUUUCCUUCCAAAUCCUCAUUUUUUCCCAAAAAUCCCCAUUUUUCCCAAAAUCCCUAUUUCCCACCCCAAAAUCCCCAUUUCCCACCCCAAAAUCCCCAUUUUUCCCAAAAAUUCAAAUUUUUCACCAUAAAAAAAUCCCAAUUUUUCCAUUCCAAAUCCUCGUUUUUUCCCCUCAAAAUCCCCAUUUUUUUUCCCAAACUCCCCAUUUUCCACCCCAAAACUCCCAUUUUUCCUCAAAAUCCCCAUUUCUCAUCCCAAAAUUCCCAAUUUUUCCCCCAAAAAUCCAAUUUUUUCCUUCCAAAUCCUCAUUUUUACCUAAAUCCCCAUUUUUUCCCCAAAUCCUCAUUUUUCUCACCCCAGAAUUCCAAUUUUUACCCCAAAAAUUCCCAAUUUUUACCCAAAAAAUCAUAUUUUUUCCUUCCAAAUUCUCUUUUUUUCCCCCAAAAUCCCCAUUUUUCCUCAAAAUCCCCAUUGCUCAUCCCAAAAUUCCCCAUUUUUUCCCUCAAAAUCCCCAUUUUUCCCAAAAUCCCCAUUUCCCACCCCAAAAUCCCUCAUUUUUCCCAAAAAUUCAAAUUUUUCCCCAAAAUUCCCUAUUUUUCACCAUAAUCCCAAUUUUUUCCUUCCAAAUUCUCUUUUUUUCCCCCAAAUCCCCAUUUUUCCCCCAAAAUCCCCAUUUCCCACCCCAAAAUCCCCAUUUCCUACCCCAAAAUCCUCAUUUUUUCUCAAAAUCCCCAUUUUCCCCCCAAAAUCCCCAUUUUUUCCCAAAAUUCCCAAUUUUUCCCCAUAAAAAAUCCCAAUGUUUUCCUUUCAAAUCCUCAUUUUUUUCCCAAAAUCCCCAUUUUUUCCCAAAAUCCCCAUUUCCCACCCCAAAAUUCCCAUUUUUCCCAAAAAUUCAAAUUUUUCACCAUAAAAAAAUCCCAAUUUUUUCCUUCCAAAUCCUCAUUUUUUCCCCCAAAAUCCCCAUUUCCAACCCCAAAAUCCCAAUUUCCAAUCCCAAAAUCCCCAUUUUUCCCAAAAUCCCCAUUUCCCACCCCAAAAUCCUCAUUUCCCACCCCAAAAUUCCCAAUUUUUCCCCCAAAAAUCCCAAUUUUUUCCUUCCAAAUCCCUAUUUUUUUCCCAAAAAUCCCCAUUUUUCCCAAAAUCCCUAUUUCCCACCCCAGAAUCCCCAUUUCCCACCCCAAAAUCCCCAUUUUUCCCAAAAAUUCAAAUUUUUCACCAUAAAAAAAUCCCAAUUUUUUCCUUCCAAAUCCUCAUUUUUUCCCCCAAAAUCCCCAUUUCCAACCCCAAAAUCCCAAUUUCCAAUCCCAAAAUCCCCAUUUUUCCCCCAAAAUCCCCAUUUCCCACCCCAAAAUCCCCAUUUUUUCCCAAAAUUCUCAAUUUUUCCCCAAAAAUUCCCUAUUUUUCACCAUAAUCCCAAUUUUUCCCUUCCAAAUCCCCAUUUUUCCCCCCAAAAUCCCCAUUUCCUACCCCAAAAUCCCCAUUUUUUUCCAAAAUUCCCCAUUUUUCCCCAAAAAAUCCCAAUUUUUUCCUUCCAAAUCCUCAUUUUUUUCCCAAAAAUCCCCAUUUUUCCCAAAAUCCCCAUUUCCCACCCCAAAAUUCCCAUUUUUCCUCAAAAUCCCCAUUUCUCAUCCCAAAAUUCCCAAUUUUUCCCCCAAAAAUCCCAAUUUUUUCCUUCCAAAUCCUCAUUUUUUCCCCCAAAAUCCCCAUUUCCAACCCCAAAAUCCCCAUUUUUUCCCCCAAAAUCCCCAUUUUUCCCAAAAUCCCCAUUUCCCACCCCAAAAUCCUCAUUUCCCACCCCAAAAUUCACAUUUUUCCCAAAAAUUCAAAUUUUUCACCAUAAAAAAAUCCCAAUUUUUUCCUUCCAAAUCCUUAUUUUUUCCCCCAAAAUCCCCAUUUCCCACCCCAAAAUCCCCAUUUUUUCCCAAAAUU
ensembl:lncRNA